GGCGCGGGCAUGGCCGGCGCCCGGGCCGGGGAGUCCCCGGAGGGGCGCGGGGGCCGCCCGCCCGCCGGGCGCGGGGCUCCUGCGCCCGCCCUCCCCCGCCUGCCUCCCGCCUAACCCGCGAUCGCUCCCCCCCUUCCCCCGCCGAGGCGAAGCUGGAGCCGCAGGAGAUCCGCCGGGCACAGGGAGGGGACAGGGAUGGGUUGUUUUCUCUCCCCCGCCCGCCCCGAGACCUGAGGAGAUGCAGCCCAAGUUCGCCGCGAUGACUCUGCUGCUGGCACCGGGGUUUCUCCGCGGCAUCGCAGCCUCCGGACCGCCUGAAUCCUGCUCCCUCUGAAUCGUCGGCGCCGGGUUAAAGCUCAGUUCUCAUGUUGUGGUUGCUGGGCUGCCGCGCUCCCGUUUUGCGAUGGGAGGUGGAGGAAAAGGGAUUGUCCGUGAGUCAACACCGAAAACGUGAUUAGGAUGAACUGCUUUCACUAAUCUGUUUCUAACCUUUCAGUCCAUGUUGGCCUGUGACCCCUCUCAGCUUUCACAUCCAGCCCGAUCAGACCACAACACUGGUCUCCCUAUGGAAGCAACUGUUUGUAUCUGGCUUUGAGGUCCCAUGGAGAAGCUGAGGAGGGGGAUGGCUCUUCACAUCCAUGAAGCCUGGAUACUUCUGUUUGUGCUCCCUGGUUUGGUCACUCCAGCUGCCAUCAACCAUGAAGAUUACCCCGCUGACGAAGGGGACCAGACCUCCAGUAAUGACAAUCUGAUCUUUGAUGAUUACCGGGGGAAGGGCUGUGUGGAUGACAGUGGCUUUGUGUACAAACUGGGAGAACGUUUUUUCCCAGGACAUUCCAACUGUCCCUGUGUCUGUACUGAGGAUGGACCUGUUUGUGAUCAACCAGAAUGCCCUAAAAUCCACCCAAAGUGCACAAAAGUGGAACACAAUGGAUGCUGUCCAGAAUGCAAAGAAGUGAAAAACUUUUGUGAAUAUCAUGGGAAAAAUUACAAAAUCUUGGAGGAAUUUAAGCCCUCGCCAUGCGAAUGGUGUCGCUGCGAGCCCAGCAAUGAAGUUCACUGUGUUGUAGCAGACUGCGCAGUCCCCGAGUGUGUCAACCCGGUCUAUGAGCCAGAGCAGUGUUGUCCUGUCUGCAAAAAUGAAAUUCCUGAAAUGGCCAGAUUUUAAGAUUGCACUUAAACCCCCUUCAGUCCCAGUCUAUGCAAUGUGCUGGUUGGUUGUGCAGAUGCAAGGGAAUGUGCCCAGCCAAGGAGAAGAAGUGAGUGCUCCCCACGCCGGAUUUUGCUGGACUCCACCAUCCUCUCCCCAGCUCCUGCAGCUGAAGGCAGUAGCAUAGCACAGCCCCUUCACCCUGCAUGGUUGGGAAUUACUGAUGGCAGCCAACCUUUGGGGCACUUGGUCACCCCACGGCCACCACCCCCCUCAGGUGUCAGCCCGAGGGGCCACAGGAAGGACCGGACGAUGCUCUUUGGGAUGGCCAGCAGGAGUGUGGACUGUGGAGCCCUCUGAGCUCAGCUGAAGCAGUGGUUUGAUUACCAACAGAGGAAAUAAAGGAUUGAUUUGAAAGCUGGUAGAAGAUCAAGACUGAAAAUGAAGAGGUGUAUUUGAGCCAGGCAGACACCAACCUGACAAAAUACUCCAGUGCUUGCUUUACUGUUCCUUAAGAAGUCAUUUCUCUGAAACUGAUUUUCAGUGGAGCUCGUCCAUCUGAUCACUUCGGGCCAAAGGGUUAAAGGCAUGUCGGUGCUGAACUUGACACAAAAGCAUCUGUCAAAACCUAGAUCCUCCACUGCCUUGGAAAUCUCCAGCACUUGGAUUCUCCAGAUGCUCAAAUGCCCUGCUGACUCAAGAUGGUUCACAGCUUUUGGAAGAGGCCUCUGUAACAGUGAAAACUGGAAAAGCUGAAACCUCCAAAAUUAGCCAUGCUGAUGUUAGACAGCAUCAGGGAGGGCUGAGUUGAAUCUGCCACCUUGUGAAGUUUCAGAGGAAGUGAGACUGAGAGCGACAAGGGAGAGGAAAAGCCUUUAGAGAACAAAAAAGCCCUGAACUGAGCAGCACUUAAUGUGAUUAAAGCCAUCCCAGAGCUCAGUGCUCACACAAAGCCAGGCUGCUGGGCUGUGCAGUGGCAGGGAUGCUGCUGCAGAGCUCCAUUCCCAGGGAGCUGCAGCCUGGAGCCAGCAGGACAGCGGCCCCUGAACCUGGUGUGUUCACCUGCACCCCAAGCCUCUGUGCUCUCUGCCCUGCCAGCAAGAAAGGGAUCAUUCACCAAUUAAACAGGCAGGAAAAGGCUCUGCCUGGCUGCUGCAGGCCAGGCAGGAGCUGAAAGCUGCUGGCCUGAAUUGAUACCCCAGGUCCCGACCAUGCUCCUGUGCUUCCACCACAGCAGAGUGCAGAUGAAUGUAACAGCACCCUGAAGGGAGGAUCAUGGAAGGGUCAGGGAGGAUCAUGAGGAGCCAUUUGUGGGACAGGAGCAGCUCCAAAGCUCUCUUUCAGCUCUCAGAGAUGUGGGAAACACGUUACCUGCUCUGCAUUACUCCUCAGACUCAGAAAUAUUUAUGAAGAAGCUUUUGCUCAUCAUGGUUGUCCCCCCUUGGGGAGAUGUUGCUGAAGUUUGUGUGCACUGGCCUGUGAGAGUGCUAGUUCAAGGUUCACUGUCACCAUGAUCGUGUCUUGUAGAGAAGGGCUGGGUUAGGGGUUUUGGAGGGGAGGGAAGGGUUCCUACAUUCCAGCUGGGAAGCCAGGUUCCUUAGCAGAACACAAGGAGCCUGGGCAGUACUGAAAUUAAAGCAGGCAUUGUGUUGCUGUUCCCCACCUGGUUCUCGGUGUGACUUUAAAAUACCAGAAGUGACUUUAUGAUCCAAUGACACUGCUGUAAACCACUUUGCUGCAAGAGAAGCUGAAAGCCAAAUCCUGUGUCGGUGUCACUUGGUGUAAAACAGCAUUUUUUACUCUGAUUUACUCCAGCUGAGGAUCUGACCUGCUGGUACCUCUGGGUGGCUCAGAGGCACACUGCAGGAGGCUGGGGUGUUUUGCAUGGCCAGGGUUCUGAAAGGAUUAGAGAGGCUUUGCUUUGGCUGGCCAGAAGGUUGGGGUUGUGAGGCAUGUCUGUGUGAGAAGAGUGGCAGACACUGUCUUCGUGUAUUUCUCAUUUGAUGAAUGUUUAAUGCUUCUUUAUUGGAGCCUACACAUAUGUAGAGUAGAGGUCUUUAAGAAGGGGUUGACUUAUUUCAAAUAAUUUAUGUCUGAGCUGCUCCUUUUACAUGAAAUGCAGACUUUACAGAGCAAAGAGACUGAAAUGAAAAUAUGAAUUAAAGAUUAGAGCUAAGCAAGUCUGAGAACACUCAGAAUUAAGAAAGGCUUACAAGUUUUCUCCUCCUGCUUCCUUUCCUUCCCUCCACCUUUCCUACAUCUCCAUCCCCUCUCCUUUGGCAGGGUGCUGCAUUCCAGGGCAGCCUUGUGUCCCUCCCACAGGGCACAGCAGGGCACACAGUUACUGUGUGGCCAUACACUACCCCAGCCUGUCACCUAACUCACCCAUCCCUUUGGCUGCAGAGACUAAAAGGGGGUUGAAGGUGUUUCUCUUCAUCUCUCUCCCUGAUUUGCUGGUGAAGUGCCUCACCUGGACAGAACAAAAAGGAGUGCAUUUUGCCAGAGGGACCCUCCAUUUGCAGCACAGCCAGGUCCCAACUGCUUUGCGGGCACCACCAUCAUUCCCGCGGGCAUCGAGGUGAAGGUGGACGACUGCAACAUCUGCCACUGCCACAACGGGGACUGGUGGAAGCCAGCAC